CCCUUAGAUGUUCUGGGCCGCACGCGCGCUACACUGAUGCAUUCAACGAGUUUCUUCCUGGUCCGAGAGGAAUGGGUAACCUUUUGAAAGUGCAUCGUGAUAGGGAUAGACUAUUGCAAUUAUUGGUCUUCAACGAGGAAUGCCUAGUAAACGCAAGUCAUCAGCUUGCAUUGAUUACGUCCCUGCCCUUUGUACACACCGCCCGUCGCUCCUACCGAUUGAAUGAUCCGAUGAAUAUCAUGGAUUGAGGAUGUAAGCAGGUUCGCCUGUCUUCAUCUUCGAGAAGUGAAGUAAAUCUUAUCAUUUAGAGGAAGGAGAAGUCGUAACA
rnacentral:rRNA from 1 species